rnacentral:rRNA from 1 species
GUAAGCACACCUCUAAAAGUGUAAGUAUGCAAUUAUGACAACUCAUAUACGUCAGGUCAAAGUGCAGCUUAUGGGAGGGAGAUGAUGGGUUACACCCUAAAUAAAGACACGGAAUAUAGCACCAAAAGCUACAUGAAGGUGGACUUGGACGUAACAAAAAUACAAAAUCAAAAUGAAGACGAAUCUGAGACAUGCACACAUCGCCCGUCACUCUUGCCCAAAGGCGAGAUAAGUCGUAACAAAGUAGGUGUAACGGAAGUUGCACCUGU